AUGUUAUCGUAAAUAAAUCGUAUACAUUUGAAAAUAUGGUUCAAACGUCUCUACCUCGUCACCGUAAAUGAUGAGACUACGAUGCAUACUUAGA
rnacentral:ncRNA from 1 species